CAGGCAUUAACAAGUACAGUCGAUCCCUUGAGCCACCGCCUUACGUGUUAAUUUAGCUUGGACGCGUAGUACAAGGAAAGUUACUAAGGAAUUCGAGCGACUAUGGAAAUAACUGUCAGAGACCGGUAUUCUCCUCUGGCAGUUAUCGUUAUUGGCUCGUAGUUCUAGUUCUCUGGCAGUUAUCGGGCUACCACCACAGGUAACCUGGAAGCUGGUAACGGAAUAACUGUGUGUGUAGACGUUCCUGACUCGGUGACUCCAGUUAAAGGUCGUAGUUCCAGGUGAUAUUUCCAGAGAGGAUAGUAACUGGAGCGAACAAAUAUUUUCGUACUGCUACGGAAACGACGGUGGGCCAUCGGGGAGAGGGGAUGGCAAAUAACGGGAAUCUAUCAUCUCAUUUCUCUGCAAUUCUUGGUGUUCCGGAACAGGUGUCACUAUUUUUCCGGCCUUUGGUUGCGUUACAGGGUAUUGACUUUCGUUCCGCGUUCUUGUUUUUCUUUGUGUUGUUGAUAUUACUACCAAUAGUUGCCAACAUGAAGAGGUCGAGGACAAGCGAAAUGUGGUCAUAUUUCGAAACUCUUGAUCGAGAGUUUGCGAAAUGUACUUUGUGCGGCAAGAAAUUAUCGUACAAAUCGACGACGACGAAUUUAAAAAAACAUCUUCAGAAAUCACAUUUAAUUGUGAAUUUCUCUUCACAAACACCUUCGGAGCUAGAUUUGGGUGAAACCCUUCCUGUAGAGGUGAUCCUUGGCACCAGUAGUUUGGAAGAGGAGCGAGAGGCACACCAACACCAGCAGAUGAGUCUCCGUUUAAUACUUGGGAUAUUAUAACAGUAAGUUAUAGCUCCAGAAGUCAGUCACCAGCAGCAGAUGUCACACAGUUAUAAAAUGGGAAACUUGAAGAAUAAGCUCCAGAAGUCAGCAGCAGCAGCAUCAGCAGCCGCCGUCACACAGCCAUAAUGCGAGAAGCUUGAAGAAUAAUGUGUUAUGGCUCCGAUAGUCUUCCAGCAGCAGCAAAUGUUACACAGUCCUAUAGAGGCAAACUUGAAGUAUAAAGUAAUAGUGUUUUGCAUACAAUGGCAAAAUUGACCUUUCGCUUAAAAUGGAGGUACAUUUGCACUGAGUUUAAUGU